UCCCUGGUGGCUCAGAUGGUAAAGCGUCUGCCUACAAUGCGGGAGACCCUGGUUCAAUCCCUGGGUCGGGAA
rnacentral:tRNA from 1 species